GACGUCAGCGCCGCCGCGGUGAUUUAACAGCUUUUGUUUUGGGCAGAAGAACCUAUGGGCACAAAAAGCAGGAACGAGUAGCGGUGGCUGAAGAACGAGCAGGAGCUUGAAUUUCAGUUUUCUUAUGAGGAAUUUUCCAGAAAAGAUAUCUUCACUGUGAAAUAACUAAAUAAAUGCCCACUCAGUACAGUCACUGUCUCCCUUUUGGAACUUGAUGGCACCUUAAGCCCAGGUUUGCCUCCACUCUAGAAACUCAUCAGAGUGAUGCCCUUCUCAAAUGGGGGAGGUCCCAAAGCGGAUAUCCUGGCAGUGUGAAAGGCCGGCUAAAGGUUUGUGCCAAGAGGAUCUGUGGAAUGCAUCUCCUACAGCUGGUGCUGCUGAGUAACCACUCUGAUCUGGCAUCUUCUUUGAUCAAGUUACAGAGCAGAGUUUCCAGGGCUGGGGAUUGAAGUCCUGCCUCCUCCCUUUGUCUCUGGUUGUCCUCGCUUUCCCUGCACUCCAAACACAGAGCUGAGACUUCCACCUAAUGUAGAAAGCUAGCACGAGCCGGCGCUGACAGAUGGAAGACUUGAGAUGUUACAAGAUUAUAUAUGGAAACACAAAAGGAGUGGAGUUGCUGGGUCAUAUGGCAAUUCAUUUGAGGAACUGAGAAGCUUAUUCCAUGGAGGCUGAACUGUUUUAUAUUCCCACCAGCAACGUGUAAGGUUCCAGUUUAUCUACAUCAUCACCAACACUUGCUAUUUUCCAUUUCAUUAAUGAUAGCCAUCCUAGUGGAUUUGAAGUGGUACCUUAUUAUCGUGGUUUUGAUUGCAUUCUCUAUUGACUAAUGAUAUCGAGCAUCUUUUCAUGUAUUUUUUGGUCAUUUGGUCAUUUUUCUUUUUUAAUUUUAAAAUUUUGAGACAGGCUCUCACUAUGUUGCCCAGGUGGUCUCAAACUCCUGGGUUCCAGCGAUGCUCAUGCCUCAGUCUCCCAAAGGGGUGGGAUUACAGGUGUGAGCCACUUUGCCCAGCCCAUUUGUAUAUCUCCUUUGGAGAAUAUCUAGGUUCUUUUGAAGGUAGCUGCAUAUAAACUAGCCAAAUUAACAGACUGUGGUUUUUAGAUGGCUUUCCAUAUCUACAAGAACUAUUUAGUUCUCAAAACUGGGAAGAAAUGUUUCAGAGGCAUCAUUAAUUCAUAAUCUAAAAAUUUAUCUUGGGUUUCCUUUUUUCCCCCAGAUUCUGUAUCCUCCAUAGUCCUAUUCAUGACAUGGGUCGUUCAUCUCUGUAUUCUAAACCCUCAAUGAACUGUAGACAGUAAUAAAUAUUUAUUGGAUGAAUGGUCUCUCA
rnacentral:lncRNA from 1 species